rnacentral:rRNA from 1 species
UACAGAGGUCCCGAGCGUUGUUCGGAUUCACUGGGCGUAAAGGGUGCGUAGGCGGCCAACUAAGUCAGACGUGAAAUCCCUCGGCUUAACCGGGGAACUGCGUCUGAUACUGGAUGGCUUGAGUUUGGGAGAGGGAUGCGGAAUUCCAGGUGUAGCGGUGAAAUGCGUAGAUAUCUGGAGGAACACCGGUGGCGAAGGCGGCAUCCUGGACCAACACUGACGCUGAGUGAGCGAAAGCCAGGGGAGCAAACGGG